rnacentral:rRNA from 1 species
UACGUAGGGUGCGAGCGUUAAUCGGAAUUACUGGGCGUAAAGCGUGCGCAGGCGGUUCGUUGUGUCGGCGGUGAAAGCCCCGGGCUUAACCUGGGAAUGGCCGUUGAAACUGGCGAACUGGAGUGUGGCAGAGGGGGGUGGAAUUCCGCGUGUAGCAGUGAAAUGCGUAGAGAUCAUGAGGAAGACCAGUGGCGAAGGCGGGUCUCUGGACAGUUCCUGACACUGAGGCACGAAGGCCAGGGGAGCAAACGGG